rnacentral:lncRNA from 1 species
AAACCUGGCAGCUUGAGAGAGUGCAGAGGGCCCUAUUUUACAAAGGCUCAAGGAGCUUCUGAGAAAACAGCCUCAGGAAGGAAAGAAUGGACAUUGGGUCAGGGUCAGAGAAGAAGCAUUUUAGCCAGAGGGGCCUAAAAAUAGAGCUUUCUUGGAGGGUGUAAUCACAGGCAGCAGGAGUAAAGGGAGGGGAGAAAAGGAAUUGAGACAAGGAAAAUGGAUUCAAAUGGAAGGCAGAGGUUUGCCGAGGUGACUACACCUUCACAAGGAGACACAGACACAGAUGCCUCCUGGACAGGAGCCACAGAGCCUUCGGAAGAGUCUGUCCAUGAAUAAGAAGGAACAGGGGAUGGAGAAGGGAAGAGUUUGAAGUUUGAAAUCCCAGAAUGAGGAAAUUCAUCCAGCUUGGAGACUUCCAAUCCCUUCAUUGUGCAGAAGGUUGCUAAUGCUCUCAGGAGAAGCCCUUCACCAAGAGAAUACUUCCACAUAGAGUCCUCUCCAUUGAGACUAAGGAAACAUGCUAUGUCAUGUAGCCACAGCAGCCUUUGCAGCUGUUGAAGGCAGCAAGACUUGCAUGGCAAUCAGAAGACACAGAACCAAGACUCAUAUCCAGUUAUAAGAUGGCAGAUGGGACACACACUCAUCAGGCUUAGUGAGCAGCCAAUCCAGAGGGAACCAUACUCAGCCCUAGGGGCUGGGCGCGGUGGCUCUCGCCUGUAAUCCCAGCACUUUGGGAGGCCAAGGCGGAUGGAUCACCUGAGGUCACGAGUUCAAGACCAGCCUGACCAACAUGGAGAAAUCCCAUCUCUACUAAAAAUACAAAAUUAGCUGGGCAUGGUGGUGCAUGCCUGUAAUCCCAGUUACUCGGGAGGCUGAGGCAGGAGAAUCACUCGAACCCGAGAGGCAGAGGUUGUGGUG